UCCACGCCGUAAACGAUGGAUACUAGCUGUUGGGCGCAAGUUCAGUGGCUAAGCGAAAGUGAUAAGUAUCCCACCUGGGGAGUACGUUCGCAAGAAUGAAACUCAAAGGAAUUGACGGGGGCCCGCACAAGCGGUGGAGCAUGUGGUUUAAUUCGAUGAUACGCGAGGAACCUUACCAAGGCUUAAAUGUAGAUUGACCGGUUUGGAAACAGACUUUUCGCAAGACAAUUUACAAGGUGCUGCAUGGUUGUCGUCAGCUCGUGCCGUGAGGUGUCAGGUUAAGUCCUAUAACGAGCGCAACCCCUGUUGUUAGUUGCCAGCG
rnacentral:rRNA from 1 species